rnacentral:lncRNA from 1 species
CUUGGCUUUGUGUUUGGUACUUAAUAAAGGUAAAAUCUGAAAUGUGAUGUCAAUGGUGAUACUUUUGUGUCAUUGGAGUUACUGAAGGGUCAGUGGUGUUACUAUAUAAAAAUGCGACAUUUUUUAAAUUUUUAUUCAUAAAUGAAAGUGUUUUUAGGUCGUGUACGAAGCAUUAGGUAUAUUAUUAUCAUUUAAUCUUAUACAAUUCACAUAUAUUCAGUUUAAGUGUAUUUUUUAGUAUUUACAAAGGCCAUAAUUAGGACAGUCAACUUUUUUACGACAAUGUAUUCUGAAAUUUAUGUUUAAAUAGAAUGCACAGCUAUAUGAAUAAUGUCAAUAAGUCGUAAUUUAAACCUAAAC